UGUCUUUAUAUUUAGAAUAUUAAGUCUAAUCUGCUCACUGAGGUAUUUAAGAGCUGCAGUAUAUUAACUGUACAAAGGUAGCAUAAUAAAUUGUUUUUUAAAUGAAAACUGGAAUGAAAGAUUGAAUAAAUAAGUAUCUUUUUUAAUUAAAGUUAUUGAAUUUAAAAUUUAAGUGAAAAUUCUUAACUAAUUUUAAAAGACGAGAAGACCCUAUAAAGUUUUAUUUAUAAAAUUGUUAUUUAAUAAUUUAAAAAUUUAAUUGGGGUGAUUUUUUAAUAAAAUUAACUUAAAUAAAUUUAAACAUUGUUUGUGAAAAAUAAGAUCUAAAAUUUUUAAAAGAUAGAUUAAAUUACUUUAGGGAUAACAGCGUAAUUUUAAUUUGAAGUUCUAAUUUAUAUUAAAGUUUGCGACCUCGAUGUUGAAUUAGGAUAAAUUAAUGGAGCAGAAAUUAUUAAUAUUAGUCUGUUCGACUAUUAAUUC
rnacentral:rRNA from 1 species